rnacentral:lncRNA from 1 species
CUCUUCUAUUUUUUUACUCUCUUUUUCUUUUUCUUUCCUUUCUUUUUCUCUCUCAUCCUCCAUGGUUGUUAUAACCUUGCAUUCUUCUUUGGGAUUAACCUCAGUAUUAGCCCCAAUGUUUUUGUACGACUUUUCCUGCAUUUGAUUAACCGUUUGGAUUAACUGGCCCAUCUGUGUUUCUAGGUUCCAGAUAGCCGCUUCUGUGUUCU